GUUGGUUAUGGAGCUGAUUUAGGCCUGGCUGGUUGGCUUACAGCCACACCAGCUGUAGUGUAGCCCCAGGACAGGAAAUGGCUUUUCUUUGGUUGAGUGGAUGGAAGUUUAUGGACCGUGAAGGCAGCCGAAUCGCCUCCAAAACCUCCUGAUGCCGGUUGCCUUGCUGGCUAAUGGUUAUACAGCUUCCCCUCAUGUUUCCAGCAACUCUUUACACCUCCCCUUGUUUUCCACCUUGUCUCCCAUCCCUGACCUCAGAGUGCCACCUCCCCCUCGUGCAUCACUUCUCCUGUUUUUGUGCAAAAGUGGCAGCCUGCGUUCCCGGCAGAGAAACUCCCUGUCAGAGCACAAACGGUGAGCUGGAUGCAGUCGGCAGCAGGGUUUCUCAGCCGCCCCGCGUGUCCUCUAAAUCUGCUGAGCCCCGAAAAAAAAAAAAAAAAGCAAACUCUUUCUCUCUCCCGUCGAAAACUCACAAAGGGGCGCAGGAGUUGCUCUUGAACGGCGCGACACGACAGCUCCGCACGCGGGAAGCGCCGCCUCCUGCCAGCCUCUGCGAGUGGAGCAGUCAGGAGCUUCACUCUUUCAACUGGAAACCUCAUUUCCACCACAGAGGAAGGAGCCAGCUCUCCCACUUCCAGCUCCCACAUUUGCAUUUCUGCUUAACAAACAAUCAGGCAGAAAGCCGGCGCUCUUCUCUCUCAUUACCAGCAAACACACAGCCAGAACAAACCGAACUACGACCAGGUGAUGGGCAGAGGUGGGUACAGUGGCCAGAAAUUGUUCUCAGACCAUGACCUUUUCUCGAUCGAUAUGCCCACCAUCUUCCUUCUACCUGCUAAAGACAACCCCCGCCCACAGCAGGAUGCUGCCACCACCUUGCAUCGCCAUGGGGAUGGAGUGUUGUGUUUGUCCUUUGGGAUGACCUCUUAUUGUGAUGCAUCACUUCCUGUCACAAUAAAACAUGUUGAAAUGU